rnacentral:rRNA from 1 species
GAUGAAUGCUGGCGGCGUGCUUAACACAUGCAAGUCGAGCGGAAAGGCCCUUCGGGGUACUCGAGCGGCGGACGGCUGAGUAACGCGUGGGAACAUGCCCCAAAGUGAGGAAUAACUGCCCGAAAGGGUGGCUAAUGCCGCAUAUGAUCUUCGGAUUAAAGGAUUUAUCCGCUUUGGGAGUGGCCUGCGUAUGAUUAGGUAGUUGGUGAGGUAAUGGCUCACCAAGCCGACGAUCAUUAGCUGGUCUGAGAGGAUGACCAGCCAGACUGGAACUGAGACACGGUCCAGACUCCUACGGGAGGCAGCAGUGAGGAAUAUUCCACAAUGGGCGAAAGCCUGAUGGAGCAACGCCGCGUGAAGGAUGAAGGCCCUCGGGUUGUAAACUUCUUUUAUAAGUGACGAUUAUGACGGUAGCAUAUGAAUAAGGAUCGGCUAACUCCGUGCCAGCCGCCGCCGUA